UCAUCUAUCAAAUUCAAACACACAAGCUUUCCACUAAGAUUUUAUACACUCAAAAUUUCUUCUACGAAUAAGUUUUCAAGCAAGCAAGGGGAGGAGUAUUUUCAAGUUGGAGCACAAAUCAAACAAUCUUUAUCAUUCUUUUGAGGUCCAUCGCGAGGAACGUAACUCCAAGUGAGUUAGUAUUAUUUUACGGAGUUUGGAAGCAUACAAGGUUGAGCUGUGAUGAAGUGGAGGGUGCUGAUUCAAAGUGGGGCUUAUUCUUAUUCUUAUGCAGUACUCUCGGAGGUUCAUGUCUUCAUACAUGGAACCGUGUUUCAGUCAUUUCCGCUGUGCAUUGAAGCAAUUCACUUCUACGUGACUCUGAUGUUUGAUAAAGUUGUGUUGUAUGAAUCACUAACUCGAGUCGUUAUGAUCGAGCUAGUCUAUUCAAAGUAUAUUCUUUUCAAAUAAUCCUUGAUUAUAUGAUCUACCCAUGUUUAUUUUCCCCAAUUUCUAUCCCCUCUUUUUAAUUCCCAUCCCCGGUCACAGUUAACCAUAUUUUAUUAUCCUUAGUAAAAUGCGGGCGUAACAGAGUGCUAAGUUGCCUAUAGAAAGAUUCUCUAAAGAGGUUCACUGUAAAUUUGGUACAAUAGAACCCUUAUAUUUUGUUCAA